UACGGGGGGAGCAAGCGUUGUUCGGAUUUACUGGGCGUAAAGGGCGCGUAGGCGGCCCGCUAAGUCGAACGUGAAAUCCCCGAGCUCAACUCGGGAACUGCGUCCGAUACUGGCGGGCUUGAAUCCGGGAGAGGGAUGCGGAGUUCCAGGUGUAGCGGUGAAAUGCGCAGAUAUCAGGAGGAACACCGGUGGCGAAGGCGGGUCUCUGGGCAACUACUGACGCUGAGGAGCGAAAGCGUGGGGAGCGAACAGG
rnacentral:rRNA from 1 species